AUUGAACGCUGGCGGCAUGCCUUACACAUGCAAGUCGAACGGUAGCGGGCCUUCGGGUGCCGACGAGUGGCGAACGGGUGAGUAAUGUAUCGGAACGUACCUUUCAGUGGGGGAUAACGUAGCGAAAGUUGCGCUAAUACCGCAUAUUCUGUGAGCAGGAAAGCAGGGGAUCGCAAGACCUUGCGCUGAUUGAGCGGCCGGUAUCAGAUUAGCUAGUUGGUGAGGUAAAGGCUCACCAAGGUGACGAUCUGGAGCGGGUCUGAGAGGAUGAUGCGCCGAACUGGAACUGAGCCACGGUCCAGACUCCUACGGGAGGCAGCAUUGGGGAAUUUUGGACAAUGGGGGCAACCCUGAUCCAGCCAUGCCGCGUGAGUGAAGAAGGCCUUCGGGUUGUAAAGCUCUUUCGGCCGGGAAGAAAUCGUAUCAGCUAAUACCUGGUGCGGAUGACGGUACCGGCAUAAGAAGCACCGGCUAACUACGUGCCAGCCGCCGCCGUAACAC
rnacentral:rRNA from 1 species